CUGUUCCUACGGGGGGCAGCAGUAGGGAAUUUUCGGCAAUGGGGGGAACCCUAAUGCAGCGACGCCGCGUGAGUGAAGAAGUAUUUCGGUAUGUAAAGCUCUGUCAGUAGGGAAGAAGAAAGACGGUACCUGACCAAGAAGCCCCGGCUAACUACGUGCCAGCAGCCGCGGUAAUACGUAGGGGGCAAGCGUUAUCCGGAUUUACUGGGUGUAAAGGGAGCGUAGACGGCAGGGCAAGUCUGGAGUGAAAGGCAGGGGCCCAACCCCUGGACUGCUCUGGAAACUGUCCGGCUGGAGUGCAGGAG
rnacentral:rRNA from 1 species